GACGAACGCUGGCGGCGUGCUUAACACAUGCAAGUCGAACGCUGAAGCUCAGCUUUUGUUGGGUGGAUGAGUGGCGAACGGGUGAGUAACACGUGAGUAACCUGCCCCCUUCUUUGGGAUAACGCCCGGAAACGGGUGCUAAUACUGGAUAUUCACUGGUCUUCGCAUGGGGGUUGGUGGAAAGGGUUUUUCUGGUGGGGGAUGGGCUCGCGGCCUAUCAGCUUGUUGGUGGGGUGAUGGCCUACCAAGGCUUUGACGGGUAGCCGGCCUGAGAGGGUGACCGGUCACAUUGGGACUGAGAUACGGCCCAGACUCCUACGGGAGGCAGCAGUGGGGAAUAUUGCACAAUGGGCGCAAGCCUGAUGCAGCGACGCCGCGUGAGGGAUGGAGGCCUUCGGGUUGUGAACCUCUUUCGCCCAUGGUCAAGCCGCAACAAUGGUUGUGGUGAGGGUAGUGGGUAAAGAAGCGCCGGCUAACUACGUG
rnacentral:rRNA from 1 species